UACGUAGGGGCCAAGCGUUGUCCGGAUUUAUUGGGCGUAAAGAGCUCGUAGGCGGUUCGGCAAGUCGAAUGUGAAAUCUCCACGCUCAACGUGGAGGGGUCAUUCGAUACUGGAUGGCUUGAGUUCGGGAGAGGGAUGCGGAAUUCCAGGUGUAGCGGUGAAAUGCGUAGAUAUCUGGAGGAACACCGGUGGCGAAGGCGGCAUCCUGGACCGAUACUGACGCUGAGGAGCGAAAGCCAGGGGAGCAAACGGG
rnacentral:rRNA from 1 species